GUAUGAGUCUUGACUCAGCUAAACACAUAGUCUGGUUUCUGCCUAUGUCUUAUUUGUUGUUGUGUAUGCCUGACCCUCAUCUGUUGAAAGCAUAACUGUGUGAUUUGACUUUAGGGGAAUUUUUUUAAUUCAAUUCCUUUCAGCAUAUUUACUUAAGUGGAAUAGCCCUCUACCAGCUCCUGGGUUAAAACAGAACGCUCCACUGACUGAGUAAUCAAAUACCCACAUGACCCUAAUACUAAGAAGCCUAAAAGUCUAAUAUAUUCAAUUAUAAGAUCCCCAAUCUCAUCCCACAUUAUAUACUUAGAGUUUGCAUAAUGCUUAUAGAUGUUUUAAGUUUGGAAAUUCAAUCAGAUUCAGUUCUUUUUUCAUGAUCUCUUUGUAGACAGGAGAACACUGGCUGCUGAGCAGAAAGUGGCCAUGAUAACACUGGGUUUACCUUUGUACCCAUACAAGACAUGUGCUACCUCACUGCCACCCUGCAGUACUAAAUCUUCAGGGAAGAGCUGCUCUCUCUCCACUUAAUGAAGCCCAUGCUAAAAUGUCCACAAGCAAUGCAGCGCUACCCCUUCAGGAUGAGCCUGUUAUCACACCCAGAAAAUCAAGAACCACAUGCUUUUCCUCUUGGAUGAAGCAGGACUUUGAUGGGACCUGCGUUGGGAUUUCAGCUGUUUUAGCAUGAAGAUAUAGGUCAUACAUUUUCUAAAAUUAAAAUUAUAUUCAAAAGGCCUUCCCAUCUUGCUUUCUAAAAAUUAAGACUGUAUUAUGAGCAUUGUCAUAUCAUUAAAUAUCAUUCAUUUGAAGAUUGCAUAAUAUUCCAUUAAGUGAUAGACUACAGUUUACUUAAUUGAUCUUUUUAUGUUGAUUGGUUUAAUUUCAAUAUUUUUCAUUUAUAAAUUAUAUACAAAAUAUGUCAAAUUUAGGGUCCGUUUAUGAUUGUCAUUUUUUGCAGCAACUUCCUAUAGAAAGAAUUUUUGGUGUAAGGCUAAGGACAUCAUUAAAAGUUCCUGAUAGGGCACCUGGGUGGCUCAGUGGUUGAGCAUCUGCUUUCAACUCAGGUCGUGAUCCCGGAGUCCUGGGAUCGAGUCCUGCAUUGGGAUCCCUGCGGGAAGCCUGCUUCUCCCUCUGCUUGUCUCUGCCUCUCUCUCUGUGUCUCUCAUGAAUAAAUAAAUAAAAUCUGUUUUAAAAAGUUCCUGA
rnacentral:lncRNA from 12 species